rnacentral:rRNA from 1 species
UACGAAGGGGGCGAGCGUUGUUCGGAAUUACUGGGCGUAAAGGGCGCGUAGGCGGCCCUCUUUGUCGCGUGUGAAAGCCCCGGGCUCAACCUGGGAACGGCGCGCGAAACGGGGGGGCUGGAGUUCGGGAGAGGAGCGUGGAAUUCCCAGUGUAGAGGUGAAAUUCGUAGAUAUUGGGAAGAACACCGGUGGCGAAGGCGGCGCUCUGGACCACUACUGACGCUGAGGAACGAAAGCUAGGGGAGCAAACAGG